GCGCGCGUGCGUGCGUGUGCGUGUGCGUUUUGGACAUAAAUCCGGCCACAUCCAUUUUUUUAGCAGCUUAUUAUGUGAAGGGUGACGGGAAGCUAAAGCCUCUAUCUCACAUUGGGUGAGAGGCAGACUAUGACUUGGACUGUUUGGCAGUGCAUUGCGGGACAUUGUUUUGGGCUAAAGACGAGAAAUGUUCACAGGUCAGGAAUGUAACACUUUCCUCAUCUGUCUUUGACAAGACCUCUCAUCUCUUGCAGUGUCCUCCACCCAGGUACACAAGUGGGCCUGCUAUUCCCAACUAUACCCUAUUCUGCCCUAGUUGCUGGCUAAUUCCUGUGACCAUGUAUGGGCCAACAUUUUUCACGUACAGAGAAUGGUGGAAUUGUAAGCAUUUUGGUUUGCUUGGUCUGAAGUACAUAUUUCAGACCUCCAAAGAAUGUGUCUCAUAGGUGCCGUUGGCCUCGACAACUUGUCAGAAACGUGACAUGGAUAACGUCUGUUUGUUCUUUUAGAUUUUAGUCAUUGGCAUUAUAACUCUUUAUGCUCAUUUCCAUUGAUUACAUUGUCACAAGAAUCAGUCAUUUUUGUUUAAUGUCCUUUCUUCAAUUGAUUUGAUCAACUUGUCACAUAUGUGUAAUGAAAUUGCGAGAGUAAAACAAGUAAUGUGUCACAUACUGGAUUUUUAUUGACAUGCCUUAAUUUGAAAAACUGUAAGGUAGAAGUGGCAACUUUAUCAAACAAGGGGUGCACUUGUAUUAAAUAUAUUGUGGCUUGAUUGGUAGUAAAAA